rnacentral:tmRNA from 1 species
UUGGGUGGGGGUGUACUGGUUUCGACAGGGCGGGCAAAGGUGCGCAGGCAACUCGAGAGGCGACGGACGUAAUCCGCGCAAAACCAUAAACGCCAACGAUGAGCGUUUCGCAGUAGCUGCAUAAGCUGACUGCCGGGGCCGCUGAAGCCUUGUAACCCAAGAAAGCCGGUGGGGACUUCGGUCCCCAUCGUCA